UUUGUACAUCAUGAUCAACUACAAAUCGUAAUGUCUUGAAAGACUUUGAUGCCUCUUCUAUAUACUUGACAUGUUAUACCAUAAAAAUCAUAUCAUAUAUUAAGAAAUAAAUCUUGAAUUUCUAUUCAAAAAACAUCAUGAACAUCUUAUUUUGCUUCAUCAUGUUGAUUUUAUUCUUCAUCCUUACUGUAAGACCCCAAUUUUGU
rnacentral:lncRNA from 1 species